AGCAGCCACAGUAAUUCUAGCUCCAAUAGCGUACAUUUAAGUUGUUGCAGUUGAAAAGCCGUAGUUGAAUUUCGGGUCAGGCCUGGGGGUCGACAUAACUGUCUCUCUCUUGUCGAGCCUACCUUCUGGCUAACCAAGUUCCCUUUACUGGGUGCUUGAGGAACCAGGACCUUUACUUGAGAAAAUUAGAGUGUUUAAGGC
rnacentral:rRNA from 1 species